rnacentral:ncRNA from 1 species
UUUUGUUCAUGAUAUCAACAUGUGCCCCUGGUGCAGAUCUUGGUGGCAGUAGAAAAUAUUCAAAUGAGAACUUUGAAGAGUGAAGUGGGGAAAUGUUGGAUGUGAACAUCACUUGGACAUGGAUGGUUAGUCGAUCCUAAGAUAUGGGGAAUCAUUGUAUCAAGGGUGCACUUUGCAUGAACAUCGAAAGAGAAUUGGGUUAAUAUUCCCGAACCAGGACAUGGUGGUGGACGACAAUGUUAGGAAAUAUGGAGAUGUCAUCGGGGGCCUGGGAAGAGUUAUCUUUUCUUUGUAACACAUUUGACUCAUAACCACUACAAUUUUUAGAAUCCCAAACCCCUAAACCCUUGAAAAUUUACCCUAAUAUUUAACCCUUAUAACCCCAAACAUGUACAUUAACUAUUACAUCUAUCCAUCAUUAGUACUAGUC